rnacentral:rRNA from 1 species
CGUAGGGUGCGAGCGUUGUCCGGAUUUAUUGGGCGUAAAGAGCUCGUAGGCGGUUUGUCGCGUCGGCCGUGAAAUCUCCACGCUUAACGUGGAGCGUGCGGUCGAUACGGGCAGACUUGAGUUCGGUAGGGGAGACUGGAAUUCCUGGUGUAGCGGUGAAAUGCGUAGAUAUCAGGAGGAACACCGGUGGCGAAGGCGGGUCUCUGGGCCGAUACUGACGCUGAGGAGCGAAGGCGUGGGGAGCGAACAGGAUUAGAUACCCUGGUAGUCCACGCUGUAAACGUUGGGCGCUAGGUGUGGGCGACAUCCACGUUGUCCGUGCCGUAGCUAACGCAUUAAGCGCCCCGCCUGGGGAGUACGGCCGCAAGGCUA